rnacentral:rRNA from 1 species
GACGUAGGUGGCGAACGUUAUCCGGAAUCAUUGGGCGUAAAGGGUGCGUAGAUGGCUUGAUAAGUUAGCAGUGGGAAAUCGAGGCUCAACCUCGUGGAAGCUGGUAAUACUGUCAGGCUCGAGUGCAGGAGAGGUUAACGGAACUCCAUGUGGAGCGGUAAAAUGUGUAGAUAUAUGGAAGAACAUCAAUAACGGCGAAGGCAGUUAACUAUUCUGUUACUGACGUUGAGGCACGAAAGCGUGGGGAGCAAAACGG